rnacentral:rRNA from 1 species
UGGGGAAUAUUGCGCAAUGGGCGAAAGCCUGACGCAGCGACGCCGCGUGGGUGAUGAAGGCCUUCGGGUCGUAAAGCCCUGUCGGGAGGGACGAAACCUCGGUGACCUAAUACGUCACCGACCUGACGGUACCUCUUAAGGAAGCACCGGCUAACUACGUGCCAGCAGCCGCGGUAAUACGUAGGACCCAAGCGUUGUCCGGAUUUACUGGGUGUAAAGGGUGCGCAGGCGGAUGGGUAAGUCAGGGGUGAAAGUCUGCAGCUUAACUGUAGAAUUGCCUUUGAUACUGCUCAUCUUGAGUGUGGGAGAGGUUGAUGGAAUUCCAGGUGUAGCAGUGAAAUGCGUAGAUAUCUGGAAGAACACCAGUGGCGAAGGCGGUCAACUGGCCCAUAACUGACGCUCAUGCACGAAAGCGUGGGGAGCAAACA